CGGCCCAGCAAGCCCCAAAGUGCAAAUUUGGAGAAGAACUCUGUUCCUGGGCCU
rnacentral:tRNA from 1 species